rnacentral:rRNA from 1 species
AAUUCCGCGAAUCAUCGAGUUUUUGAACGCAAGUUGCGCCCGAGGUCUAGUGCCGAGGGCAUGCCUGCCUGAGCGUCAUG